rnacentral:rRNA from 1 species
GAUGAACGUUGGCGGUGUGCCUAAUACAUGCAAGUCGAACGGAGUUAAUAGCAAUAUUGGCUCAGUGGCGAACGGGUGAGUAACGCGUUGGUGAUCUGCCUUGAAGUGUGGAAUAACGUUUCGAAAGGAACGCUAAUACCGCAUGUGCUCUCGAUUUUCAGAAAGUUGAGAGUAAAGGAUUUAUUCGCUUCAAGAGGAGCCUGCGUCCCAUCAGCUGGUUGGUAGGGUAACGGCCUACCAAGGCUAUGACGGGUAGGGGACCUGAGAGGGUGGCCCCCCAAAUGGAACUGAAACACGGUCCAUACACCUACGGGUGGCAGCAGUAGGGAAUAUUAGAAAUGGACGAAAGUCUGAUCUAGCAACACCGCGUGUGCGAAGAAGGCCUUGGGUCGUAAAGCACUUUUUGGAAGGAAUAGGAAGGAAUGUACUUCCAGAAUAAGUCUCGGCUAACUACGUG